rnacentral:hammerhead_ribozyme from 1 species
AUCCAGCUGACGAGUCCCAAAUAGAACGAAACGCGCGUCAACCUGGAU